rnacentral:rRNA from 1 species
CCUACGGGCGGCAGCAGUGGGGAAUAUUGCGCAAUGGGCGAAAGCCUGACGCAGCGACGCCGCGUGAGGGAUGAAGGUCUUCGGAUCGUAAACCUCUGUCAGCAGGGAAGAACGGUCACUGUGCUAAUCAGCAGUGAAUUGACGGUACCUGCAAAGGAAGCACCGGCUAACUCCGUGCCAGCAGCCGCGGUAAUACGGAGGGUGCGAGCGUUAAUCGGACUUACUGGGCGUAAAGCGCUCGUAGGAGGUAUGUCAAGUCAAGGGUUAAAUCACCGCGCUAAACGUGGGAACUGCCUUUGAAACUGGCAAACUGGAGUGUGUGAGAGGAUAGUGGAAUUGCAGGUGUAGGAGUGAAAGCCGUAGAUAUCUGGAGGAACAUCAGUGGCGAAGGCGACUAUCUGGCACAUAACUGACGCUGAGGAGCGAAAGCGUGGGUAGCAAACAGGAUUAGAUACCCUUGUAGUC